ACAAACAAAAAAAAGUAAAGUGACCGGCUAUGUUAUACCUAAAGAAAUUAUCGAACUAAGUCCAGCAUCAUAGAGAGCCUGCUCGGUCAUCAGCUCUCGUUGCGGUGGAACUUCUAUAUUUUUUAGUUGGAGAAAGUCUUCCUGAUCAACAGUAUCCACCAGACUAUUCUCGUUGGGGCCGAUUCUCGGAUCGCCCCACCACGAAGGAAAGCCCCA
rnacentral:lncRNA from 1 species